rnacentral:rRNA from 1 species
GAUGAACGCUAGCUACAGGCUUAACACAUGCAAGUCGAGGGGUAACGAGAGGAAAGCUUGCUUUCCUUGUCGAUGACCGGCGCACGGGUGAGUAACGCGUAUCCAACCUGCCCCCAACUAGGGAAUAACCUUGCGAAAGUAAGACUAAUACCCUAUAAUUUCCUCAGAUGUCAUCUGACGAGGAAUAAAGAUUUAUCGGUUGUGGAUGGGGAUGCGUCUGAUUAGCUUGUUGGCGGGGUAACGGCCCACCAAGGCAACGAUCAGUAGGGGUUCUGAGAGGAAUGUCCCCCACAGUGGAACUGAGACACGGUCCAAACUCCUACGGGAGGCAGCAGUGAGGAAUAUUGGUCAAUGGGCGGAAGCUUGAACCAGCCAAGUAGCGUGCAGGAUGACGGCCCUAUGGGUUGUAAACUGCUUUAAUACAGGAAUAAAGUUAGCCACGUGUGGUUAUUUGUAGGUACUGUAUGAAUAAGGACCGGCUAAUUCCGUGCCAGCCGCCGCCGUAA